AAUGGGUGAGUAACACGUACCUAACCUACCUUUAAGAUUGGGAUAACUACUGGAAACAGUAGCUAAUACCGAAUACGUGUAAGUCUCGCAUGAGAUUUAUUCAAAAGGGGCGUUUGCCCUGCUUAGAAAUGGGGGUGCGGAACAUUAGUUAGUUGGUGAGGUAAUGGCUCACCAAGACGAUGAUGUUUAGCCGGGCCGAGAGGCUGUACGGCCACACUGGGACUGAGAUACGGCCCAGACUCCUACGGGAGGCAGCAGUAGGGAAUUUUCCACAAUGAGCGAAAGCUUGAUGGAGCGACACAGCGUGCAGGAUGACGGCCUUCGGGUUGUAAACUGCUGUUAUAAGGGAAGAAAAACUAGAGUAGGAAAUGACUUUAGCCUGACGGUACCUUAUUAGAAAGCGACGGCUAACUAUGUGCCAGCAGCCGCGGUAAUACAUAGGUCGCGAGCGUUAUCCGGAAUUAUUGGGCGUAAAGAGUUCGUAGGUUGUUUAUUAAGUCUGGAGUUAAAUCCCGAAGCUCAACUUCGGUCCGCUUUAGAUACUGAUAAACUAGAAUCACAAAGAGGUUAGCGGAAUUCCUAGUGAAGCGGUGGAAUGCGUAGAUAUUAGGAAGAACACCAAUAGGCGAAGGCAGCUAACUGGUUGUGUAUUGACACUGAGGAACGAAAGCGUGGGGAGCAAACAGGAUUAGAUACCCUGGUAGUCCACGCCGUAAACGUUGAUCAUUAGUUGGUAGGAGAACUUACCGACGCAGCUAACGCAUUAAAUGAUCCGCCUGAGUAGUAUGCUCGCAAGAGUGAAACUUAAAGGAAUUGACGGGGACCCGCACAAGCGGAGGAGCAUGUGGUUUAAUUUGAAGAUACGCGUAGAACCUUACCCACUCUUGACAUCCCUUGCAAUGCUAUAGAGAUAUAGCGGAGGUUAACAAGGUGACAGAUGGUGCAUGGUUGUCGUCAGCUCGUGUCGUGAGAUGUUAGGUUAAGUCCUGCAACGAGCGCAACCCUUGUCUUUAGUUACUAACAGUUCGGCUGAGGACUCUAGAGAGACUGCCUGGGUAACCAGGAGGAAGGUGGGGACGACGUCAAAUCAUCAUGCCUCUUACGAGUGGGGCAACACACGUGCUACAAUGGUUGGUACAAAGAGAAGCAAUAUGGUGACAUGGAGCAAACCUCAAAAAACCAAUCUCAGUUCGGAUUGAAGUCUGCAACUCGACUUCAUGAAGUCGGAUUCGCUAGUAAUCGCAGAUCAGCUACGCUGCGGUGAAUACGUUCUCGGGUUUUGUACA
rnacentral:rRNA from 1 species